rnacentral:rRNA from 1 species
UACAGAGGGGGCAAGCGUUGUUCGGAAUCAUUGGGCGUAAAGAGUAUGUAGGCGGCUAUUUAAGUCAGGCGUGCAAGCCCACGGCUCAACCGUGGAAUUGCGUUUGAAACUAUUUAGCUUGAGUACAGGAGAGGAAGGCGGAAUUCCCAGUGUAGCGGUGAAAUGCAUUGAUAUUGGGAAGAACACCGGUGGCGAAGGCGGCCUUCUGGUCUGAUACUGACGCUGAGAUACGAAAGCCAGGGGAGCGAACGGG